rnacentral:rRNA from 1 species
AGUGAACGCUGGCGGUAGGCCUAACACAUGCAAGUCGAACGGCAGCACAGUAAGAGCUUGCUCUUACGGGUGGCGAGUGGCGGACGGGUGAGGAAUACAUCGGAAUCUACUUUUUCGUGGGGGAUAACGUAGGGAAACUUACGCUAAUACCGCAUACGACCUACGGGUGAAAGCAGUGGAUCUUCGGACCUUGCGCGAUUGAAUGAGCCGAUGUCGGAUUAGCUAGUUGGCGGGGUAAAGGCCCACCAAGGCGACGAUCCGUAGCUGGUCUGAGAGGAUGAUCAGACACACUGGAACGGAGACACGGUCCAGACGACUACGGGAGGAAGCAGUGGGGAAUAUUGGACAAUGGGGGAAAGCCUGAUCCAGCCAUACCGCGUGGGUGAAGAAGGCCUUCGGGUUGUAAAGCCCUUUUGUUGGGAAAGAAAAGCAGCAGGUUAAUACCCCGCUGUUCUGACGGUACCCAAAGAAUAAGCACCGGCUAACUUCGUG